AGAGUUUGAUCCUGGCUUAGGACGAACGCUGGCGGCGUGCCUAAUACAUGCAAGUCGAGCGAACCUUUAGGAGCUUGCUCCUGAAGGUUAGCGGCGGACGGGUGAGUAACACGUGGGCAACCUGCCUGUAAGACUGGGAUAACUUCGGGAAACCGGAGCUAAUACCGGAUAAUCCUUUUCCUCUCAUGAGGAAAAGCUGAAAGUCGGUUUCGGCUGACACUUACAGAUGGGCCCGCGGCGCAUUAGCUAGUUGGUGAGGUAACGGCUCACCAAGGCGACGAUGCGUAGCCGACCUGAGAGGGUGAUCGGCCACACUGGGACUGAGACACGGCCCAGACUCCUACGGGAGGCAGCAGUAGGGAAUCUUCCGCAAUGGACGAAAGUCUGACGGAGCAACGCCGCGUGAGCGAUGAAGGCCUUCGGGUCGUAAAGCUCUGUUGUUAGGGAAGAACAAGUACCGGAGUAACUGCCGGUACCUGACGGACCUACCA
rnacentral:rRNA from 1 species